rnacentral:rRNA from 1 species
GAACGGUAGUAUGGUGCUUGCACUAUAUGAGAGUGGCGGACGGGUGAGUAACACGUAGAUAAUCUACCCUUGUGUUGGGGAUAGCUUAUGGAAACAUAGGGUAAUACCGAAUACGGUCUUAGAAUCGAUAGGGUUUUAAGAAGAAAGGUGCUACGGCAUCGCACGAGGAGGAGUCUGCGGUAGAUUAGCUAGUUGGUAAGGUAAAGGCUUACCAAGGCGACGAUCUAUAGCCGGCUGAGAGGGUGACGGCACACUGGGACUGAAACGGCCCAGACUCCUACGGAGGCAGCAGCUAAGAAUCUUCCGCAAUGGACGAAAGUCUGACGGAGCGACGCCGCGUGAACGAAGAAGCAGAGAUGUUGUAAAGUUCUUUUAUCAGGAGAAUAAUGAGA